rnacentral:rRNA from 1 species
GACGAACGCUGGCGGCGUGCCUAAUACAUGCAAGUAGAACGCUGAAGGAGGAGCUUGCUUCUCUGGAUGAGUUGCGAACGGGUGAGUAACGCGUAGGUAACCUGCCUGGUAGCGGGGGAUAACUAUUGGAAACGAUAGCUAAUACCGCAUAAGAGUAGAUGUCGCAUGACAUUUGCUUAAAAGGUGCAAUUGCAUCACUACCAGAUGGACCUGCGUUGUAUUAGCUAGUUGGUGAGGUAACGGCUCACCAAGGCAACGAUACAUAGCCGACCUGAGAGGGUGCUCGGCCACACUGGGACUGAGACACGGCCCAGACUCCUACGGGAGGCAGCAGUAGGGAAUCUUCGGCAAUGGACGGAAGUCUGACCGAGCAACGCCGCGUGAGUGAAGAAGGUUUUCGGAUCGUAAAGCUCUGUUGUAAGAGAAGAACGAGUGUGAGAGUGGAAAGUUCACACUGUGACGGUAUCUUACCAGAAAGGGACGGCUAACUACGUG